CACAGGGUCUGAAUUCGCCUGGCUCUGUGCGGAAAAUGAAAAAUAUGGAUAUGAGUUGCGUCUCAGGGUAACUUAACGGAAUUCAUACUUUGUUUAGAAAUAGAAGCUGUUUUCUAAGACGCUGGGCAUCAGUAAUAAAUUACUGUUACUAUCCUGAAGAUACUAAGAGCAAAUGGCACGAGCUCAGAAAGCGUACAAUUUUAAAGUUCUUUUUUAAAAGAUGUGAUGCAGGGGAGUGAAGCCAAGUAGAGCCCAGAGUAUUAAGGUUGACAAGAUAGAGCUGAAGUUCCGGAGAGACCGAGAACGUGUCAGAAACACUUUUAUUAUGUCCAUCAUAGGGGACAGAAAACAGAUCAACUACUAUUUUCCCCUGUACAACCUACAGAGUUCACCAAUGUGAAAUAAAUCCUGCUAAGGCAAAUAUGUUGUCUUUUUUGCUCACCACUGUAUACUAAACUACUUGGAACAGUACACUACUUGGAACAUAAAAGAAGUAAGUCAUGGAAGAAACCCAAGUGCCCAUCGAUCCACGAAUGGAUUAACAAAUUGUGGUAUAUGUACACGAUGGAAUACUAUGCAGCCUUGAAGAAAGAUGGAGACUUUACCUCUUUCAUGUUUACCUGGAUGGAGCUGGAACAUAUUCUUCUCAGUAAAGUGUCUCAAGAAUGGAAGAAAAAAUAUCCAAUGUAUUCACCCCUACUAUGAAACUAACUUAGGACCUUCACAUGAAAGCUAUAACCAAGUUACAA